AUGUUUCGCUCCAUGAAGUUAAUCCUCAUUACAUAUCUCUUUCUUGAACUUCAGUUUUUUCUAUUGAUUGGGAUUAGGAAAGGGAAACUAAAUUUUUUGCUCAUGACUUGUAAGCUGCAGCAAAAGCUUGCAAUUUCUAAUUUCCUAGCCAACCAGGUGCAUGUGUUUCAUGCCUUUCCUAAACUUUUUUAUUUAACUAGCUGUGUUCUUAAUUUUUAUCAUCUUGUAUCAUAUAUUUGUGUUCUAAUUAUCAAGAUUGCUAUUGAUUUGGCAAGAUUGUAUUUGGAAAGUAUUCAUCUGACUAUGAGAAGAAAAAAACAUGCAUAUGAGUUGAUUGAGCCUGAGAAAGGAGUUGUUUACAUUUAUUCAGAGCACAUACAAGUAGUAUUUCUACCGCUUAGGAAUUUUGUGGAAUUAGUUUUAGUAUUUAUUGAAGAGCAACUUAGUGAAGGAUUAUAG
rnacentral:rRNA from 1 species